AUCAGGACAGGCGUACACUACGUUUCUUUUCUCUCGUAACGCACUAUUACUCUCUCUCUUCCUUGUUAGCACAUUCUCUCUCUCUCCUCAUCUCUGUGUUUUUUUUUUGGGUAAAACGUCAUCCCUAUGUUUCUCAUUGAACUUCUCAAACCCCUACUCCUUGCCUCUCGCGCACCAUCUCUACCCCUGCUCCCUGCCUAUCGCUCACCAUCUCUCCACUCUUUCUCUCUCUAAAUCCUUGUUUUAGUUUUUUUGGGUAAAACCUCAUCCUUGUGUUUCUCAUUGAACUGCUCAAAUGCCUGCUCGCUGCCUCUCGCACACCAUCUCUGCCCUUGCUCGCUGCCUCUCGCGCACCAUCAGUGCCCCUGCUUGUUGCUUCUCGCACCCAUCUCUUAAAGCCCUAAACUGCUAGGUUGAAGAAUAGUGAGUUAAAGAUUCUGAAAUGUCAGUUUGUUUGAUCACAGCAGAAAGCUUUUGGUCGAGCCAAAUCCUCAAGCAUCAGAAUGAGACUGGAUGCGGCUAUCUAGAUUGAUGUGAUGAAAUUCUAGGUGAAGAUAGGAAGCAUGUGGUUAAAAGGUUCAUGUCUCAAAGAUCAUAUACUUGUACAUCUGAUGGAUUAGAUGCAUCUUUGUUUGAAAAAGAGAAGCGCAAAUCUGUUGCUAUGUUCUCUCAGAAACAGAUAUUCAAAAAAUUACUCUUAUAUGUGUAAUUUUAUUUAUGAUAUUGAUAUUUGCCUUCCUUUUUUUUUUGUAAAAAGAAUGGGUAUAUGUUUUAUGGUAUCUAUGUAAUUAUACUUGUAUACACUUAUAUUUCUCUAUCUUCUAUGGAACAAUAAUGUUCAAUUUA